rnacentral:rRNA from 1 species
GACGAACGCUGGCGGCGUGCUUAACACAUGCAAGUCGAGCGGUAAGGCCCUUUCGGGGGUACACGAGCGGCGAACGGGUGAGUAACACGUGGGUGACCUGCCCUCAGCUCUGGGAUAAGCCUGGGAAACCGGGUCUAAUACCGGAUAUGACUCCAUGACGCAUGUUGUGGGGUGGAAAGCCUUGUGCGGCUGAGGAUGGGCCCGCGGCCUAUCAGCUUGUUGGUGGGGUGAUGGCCUACCAAGGCGACGACGGGUAGCCGGCCUGAGAGGGCGACCGGCCACACUGGGACUGAGACACGGCCCAGACUCCUACGGGAGGCAGCAGUGGGGAAUCUUGCGCAAUGGGCGAAAGCCUGACGCAGCGACGCCGCGUGCGCGAUGAAGGCCUCGGUUGUAAGACG